UACAACCCAAAACCAAAUAAUAAUAUUAAUAAGAUAAAACUUAUAAAGAAAUAAAUCGGCUACUUAUUGCAAUUAAAAGAAACAGAAACAGUAGUGUGGCCAUCUCCGAGUCCCUCACAGCUCUAAACCAUCUAAGCUUAGGGAUUACCUAAAUAGUUAGAAACGAGGUGAGUUUACAAAAACUCAGUGUGUAAUCCCAAUAACAAACAAACAGUGAAUACACAGUAUCAUUACAAUCUGGGCCAAAGCCCCAUUUAGUCUUGACAUAUACUGGGCCGAAACCUUUUCAUAAAUCAUAUCACUGGCCGAAGCCUUUACUGUAAACGGUAUGGCCCUUAGGCCCAUUUCAAUAUCACAUGUAAUGUCAAUGGAUGUAUGCAAGCCCAUUUCAAUAUCACAUGAAAUACUAAUGAAUGUAUGCAAGCCCAUUUGGGGAGACUACUCGACCCACCAUCCGCUACUCUCCACCCGUACCAACGAAGCUCAUCAUGUGGGGAAUAACUCAACCCACCCAACCAAACUCUCCAUUGGAAGUAUAGUUGCUUUAUCAUAUAACUGGAGGCCUAGCCUCUUUUAAUAACUGGGGCAGAGCCCUUUUCGGUAAACUGGGGUAGAGCCCUUUUAGCACUUCUUCCAUCAAUAUAACCCAUAUCCCAUGCAAUAUGUCAUGUAUGAAGAAUGUCAUGCCCAUAUUUGAAUCAAACAAUCACAGUUAAGUCACUCAUAUCACCAACAUAUAUUCACAAUCAAAUUCGUCAACCACACAGUCCAAGUCAGUCACUUGCCCACAAGAGCAAAAUAGUUAUUUUUCAUAUUAUAAGGGUAUUUUCGUAAUUUUACCAAAUAUCAGGGUUUUCCAUGUUCAUUACAAUUUUCAAUAUUUUCGAGUGUUUAAACAAUUAUCUUUAACCCGCUUUAUCAAAUUUGAGCUUUUGGGCCCAAAACCCCUAAUGGGCCCUACGAAUGCUGAUUUAGCCUACUUAAUCCAAACUUUACAACAAUACUAAUCGUAUUAACGUGCAACUUUUCCAAAUUCCAUUUUUUUAUCAAUUUUACCUAAAUGGGCCCAAAAGCCCAUUGGGCCUAAUUCUAGACCAUUGAGGCCCAACUUACCAUUGUGCACAAAAUCGAGUUCUUACCUGUUCCAUCAAUCCAAACACCGAUCUUAUCGUAUUUAUCGCAUCUAUACCCAAACGCAACAUUACAAGUUCUUGAAAUACCGGUAUUUUAGCAUUUUGGCUUCUCAGCAAAUAUUAAUCUAAGCUAUUACGAGGGUUAGUACACACCUGUUACGGGUUGAAGUUGAAACGUUUCCAUAUUCAAUCACCUACGAUAACCACCACCUGUCACUCAAACUUAACUAUUCCAAUAUCAAUAUAUGUAAACCCUAAGCACAUCAAUCAUACGGAACAUAAGGGCGUAUUCAUCAUUUUACCAUACAAGGGUAUUACGGUCACUUUACCCUACAGGGGCUUUACGGUCUUUUUACCUAUUAAGGGUAUUUUAGUCAUUUCAUCCUACAAUGGUGUUUUUGUAAGUCUACAAACCAAGGGUAUUUCAAUAAUUUUGUAAACCAAUGGUGUUCCUAUAAUUUUCAAAAAAGUCAAGGGUAUUUCUAUAAUUUUGUAAAUCAGGGUUAUUUUGGUAAUUUUACAAAUUGAGGGUAUUUCAGUAAUUUCUUAAACCAGUGGUAUUUUGGUAAUUCUAUCCUACAGUGGUAUUUCAGUUAUUUCACAAUCGAGGGUAAAACGGUAAUUUUGCAAACUGAGGGUAAAAUGGUAAUUUUGUAAAUCGAGGGUAAAACGAUAAUUCUAUAAAUCGAGGGUACUUUGGUAAUUUUACAAAUUGAGGGCAUUUCAAUAAUUUGGUAAACUAAAGUAAUCUAAACAGGGAUAACAAUAUGAAUGGGCCUAAAGCCUAUUCGCGGCCCAAAUAGGCCCACAUGCUCGUGUGGCCCUUUUAGCCCAAAUCUAGCCACAAAUAUGAGAUUCACCUAGCCUAGUCCAAUAUUUACUACAUAAUCAAACAACUUAUCCAAUUGGGCCCGUAGGCCCAUUAGGCCCACAUGGCCCCUUUCAGCCCAUCGCGGCCCGAAGUAGCCAUCCUACAGCUAGAGUAGCGAGAAAAUACACACUUGAUUGGAGACUGGAGUUAAUCCACGCUCCGAGCACUCUUAGCCGACGCCCAACCCAAACGAGCACGCCAUAAAGCGAAAGGGAUCAGCCAAGAAAGGUACCUCUACUCUCCUUAUGGUUCUCUCUAUUUAAAGCCAGCUUCGCAUCCCCUCUUGUGUUAGCUUCCCGAUGUGGGAUCCAUCCAACAUCAGAGUUUAAAUUCAACACCAACUCUUGCCCCCUGUUGCAAAAUAAACGCUCUUUGAUUGCCAUGAGUUUCAAACCCUGGACCUCCUUGCCAACUCUAUGACGCCACCUUGCCACUUCACCACAGGCUCUUUUUGUGUCAUAUUUUAUCCCCAAUUAAUUAUAAGGUCUAAAGGCCAAAAUCCAGGUUCCCUUAAAAAAACCAAAAUAAAUUGCAAGAGCCAAGGCUUGAACCCAGGCUCCCAUACAACCUUAAUGACGCCACAACCACUAGACUACAAGCUUCCUUGUGUCAUUUAUUUAACACAAUAAUUUAAAAGCACUCAUCCAAGCAUCCAGCUUUUUUUUCUCUGAAUACAAAAAAUUUUGCUAAAGCCCAAGUUUGAACCCAAGAUUUCUCUAACACUUCUGAGGGCCAUUAACCACCAAAGCAGACAUUUAAUUAUGUCAUUUCAUUGCACAAUUAAAUACCUAUAUACAACCUCCUUACGGACCCACACUCAAGGCCCAAUACUUCUAGGCCCAAAUUUGGGGUGUUACAAUUCUACCUCCCUUAAAGAAAUUUCGUCCUCGAAAUUUUCCACUCUCAGACUACACCACCACACUUCCGCUGCGCACUCUGAUACUAAUAAUACUAACAUACACCCAAAACAUUUAUCCAUCGGAGCGGAUAGAUUUCACAUGCAAACAAUUUCUACAUUUCCAGAACGCACACCAAAUAAAUACUAAAUCUAAAUUCAAGCGUUACAGUUUACUCUAACUAGAGAGUUCCAGUAUUGUGCCACUAUCUAUAGUAGUUUCUCAAUAUAGCAUUUCAAUCUAUAACAGUAAACAGAGUUAGAGAACUUAAAAUUUUGGUGCCGGAGACUCGGUGUGCCACACCUCCAAUAACAUCUUUUCAGAAACAAGUCAAGUUUUGUUAAGAGAUUUCAAAACAAAAUUUUAGAAAAACCCUUUCCAAACCCCAAUUUCAGAAAAAGAAAAACAACAAUAAUUUUCUGCUACCCAUACCACAAUCGAGUUUUGUAACUUGGCUCUAAUACCACUAAAUGUAACACCCCAAACUCAGCCCAGACGUUAUGGCUGGAUCCGACGUGUCACAUUGAAGUUUUUAAGAAAACCCAUGCCUCUUUCAACGUCCUUCUUAGUGUUUUAAAAGAUAGUCUUUGGUAAGUGAAUAAAGUGAAUGCAAGCUGUGCACCAGGUAGGUAUCUGAAACAGAGGAGGUGAGCCAUGAAGGCUGCUUAAGUACCAAGCUCUUUAUUGGAUCCAAUCCUAGACAUGCCCACAACCAUUGCCACACUUUGGUGCUAGGUUAGGUUUUGAGAAAAAUGAGUUGGAAUUCAUUUAAGUAGAUAUUUUUGAUAAACCGAUUAAUUGUAUCGUUGCAUUAUUUUGGAAACAAUUAUCAUUUUGGAAACUCGCCCUAGGUCUAACUCAUAUUGUUAUCAAAAAAAUAUAAGGUAUAAAAUAAAAUAAUCACAGAAAAAUAAUUAAAAUGGCGUUAUUACAACCCAAAACCAAAUAAUAAUAUUAAUAAGAUAAAACUUAUAAAGAAAUAAAUCGUCUACUUAUUGCAAUUAAAAGAAACAGAAAUAGUAGUGUGGCCAUCUCUGAGUCCCUCGCAGCUCCAAACCAUCUAAACUUAGGGAUUACCUGAACAAUUAGAAACGAGGUGAGUUUACGAAAACUCAGUGUGUAAUCCCAAUAACAAACAAACAGUGAAUACACAGUAUCAGUACAAUCUAGGCCAAAGCCCUAUUUAGUCUUGACAUAUACUUGGCCGAAACCUUUUCAUAAAUCGUAUCACUGGCCGAAGCCUUUAUUGUAAACGAUAUGGCCCUUAGGCCCAUUUCAAUAUCACAUGUAAUGUCAAUGGAUGUAUGCAAGCCCAUUUCAAUAUCACAUGAAAUACCAAUGAAUGUAUGCAAGCCCAUUUGGGGAGACUACUCAACCCACCAUCCGCUACUCUCCACCCGUACCAACCAAGCUCUCCAUGUGGGGAAUAACUCAACCCACCCAACCAAGCUCUCCACUGGCAGCAUAGCUGCUUUAUCAUAUAACUGGAGGCCUAGCCUCUUUUAAUAACAGGGGCAACACCCUUUUCGGUAAACUGGGGCAGAGCCCUUUUAGCACUUCCUCCAUCAAUAUAACCCAUAUCCCAUGCAAUAUGUCAUCUAUGUAGAAUGUCAUGCCCAUAUUUGAAUCAAAAAAUCACAGUCAAGUCACUCAUAUCACCAACUUAUAUUCACAAUCAAAUCCGUCAACCACACAGUCCAAGUCACUCACUUGCCCACAAGGGCAAAACAGUCAUUUUUCAUAUUAUAAGGGUAUUUUUGUAAUUUUACCAAAUAUCAGGGUUUUCCAUGUCCGUUACAGUUGUCAAUAUUUUCGAGUGUUUAAACAAUGAUCUUUAACCCACUUUAUCAAAUUCGGGCUUUUGGGCCCAAAACCCCUAAUGGGCCCUAUGAAUGCUAAUUUAGCCUACUUAACCCAAGUUUUACAACAAUACUAACCGUGUUAACGUGCAACUUUUCCAAAUUUCAUUUUUUAUCAAUUUUACCCAAAUGGGCCCAAAAGCCCAUUGGGCCCAAUUCCAGCCCACUGAGGCCCAACUUACCAAUGUGCACAAAAUUGAGUUCUUACCUGUUCCAUCGAUCCAAACACUGAUCUUAUCGUAUUUAUCACAUCUAUACCCAAAUGUAACAUUACAAGUUCCCGAAAUACCAGUAUUUUAGCAUUUCGGCUUCUCAGCAAAUAUUAAUCUAAGCUAUUACAAGGGUUAGUACACACCUGUUACGGGUUGAAGUUGAAAUGUUUCCAUAAUCAAUCACCUACGAUAACAACCACCUGUCACUCAAACUUAACUAUUCCAAUAUCAAUAUAUGUAAAUCCUAAGCACAUCAGUCAUACGAAACAUAAGGGCGUAUUCAUCAUUUUACCAUACAAGGGUAUUACGGUCACUUUACCCUACAGGGGCUUUACGGUCUUUUUACCUAUUAGGGAUAUUUUAGUCAUUUCAUCCUACAAGGGUGUUUUGGUAAAUCUACAAACCAAGGGUAUUUUAGUAAUUUUGUAAACCAAUGGUAUUCCUAUAAUUUUUAAAAAAGUCGAGGGUAUUUCUGUAAUUUUGUAAAUCAAGGGUAUUUCGGUAAUUUUACAAAUUGAGGGUAUUUCGGUAAUUUCUCAAACCAGUGGUAUUUUGGUAAUUCUAUCCUAUAGGGGUAUUUCAGUAAUUUCACAAUCGAGGGUAAAACGGUAAUUUUGUAAACUGAGGGUAAAAUGGUAAUUUUGUAAAUCGAGGGUAAAACGAUAAUUCUAUAAAUCGAGGGUACUUUGGUAAUUUUACAAAUUGAGGGCAUUUCAGUAAUUUGGUAAACUAAAGUAUUCUAAACAGGGAUAAUAAUACGAAUGGGCCUAAAGCCUAUUCUCGGCCCAAAUAGGCCCACACGCUCGUGUGGCACUUGUAGCCCAAAUCUAGCCACAAAUAUGAGAUUCACCUAGCCUAGUCCAAUAUUUACUACACAAUCAAACAACUUAUCCACUUGGGCCCGUAGGCCCAUUAGGCCCACAUGACCCCUUUCAGCCCGUCGCAGCCCGAAGUAGCCAUCCUACAGCUAGAGUAGCGAGAAAAUACACACUUGAUUGGAGACUGGAGUUAAUCCACGCUCCGAGCACUCUUAGCCGACGCCCAACCCAAACGAGCACGCCAUAAAGCGAAAGGGAU
rnacentral:lncRNA from 1 species